rnacentral:tRNA from 12 species
UGCAUUUGAAGUAGAGAUUGUGCUGCUACACGCCCACUGGGCCAAAAGAAAUGCGGGAAGGGGCACACCCGCCAAAUGCC